UACGGAGGGGGCUAGCGUUGUUCGGAAUUACUGGGCGUAAAGCGCGCGUAGGCGGCUUAGCAAGUUAGAGGUGAAAGCCCGGAGCUCAACUCCGGAAUUGCCUUUAAAACUGCAAAGCUAGAAUCAUGGAGAGGUGAGUGGAAUUCCGAGUGUAGAGGUGAAAUUCGUAGAUAUUCGGAAGAACACCAGUGGCGAAGGCGACUUACUGGACACAUAUUGACGCUGAGGUGCGAAAGCGUGGGGAGCAAACAGG
rnacentral:rRNA from 1 species